rnacentral:rRNA from 1 species
GAGUUUGAUCCUGGCUCAGAACGAACGCUGGCGGCGUGCCUAACACAUGCAAGUCGAACGUGAUCCAGAGCUUGCUCYGGUGAAAGUGGCGCACGGGUGAGUAACGCGUGGAUAACCUACCCUGGUAUCCGGGAUAACAUUCCGAAAGGGGUGCUAAUACCGGAUAAGCCCACGGGCUCUUUGGAGCUUGCGGGAAAAGGUGGCCUCUAUUUAUAAGCUACUGUAUCAGGAUGGGUCCGCGUACCAUUAGCUAGUUGGCGGUGUAACGGACCACCAAGGCGACGAUGGUUAGCUGGUCUGAGAGGAUGAUCAGCCACACUGGAACUGAGUCACGGUCCAGACUCCUACGGGAGGCAGCAGUGGGGAAUUUUGCGCAAUGGGGGAAACCCUGACGCAGCAACGCCGCGUGAGUGAUGAAGGCCUUUGGGUCGUAAAGCUCUGUCAGAGGGGAAGAAAUGAUAUAGUGCUAAUACCACUUUAUCUUGACGGUACCCUCAAAGGAAGCACCGGCUAACUCCGUGCCUGCAGCCGCGGUAAUAC